UACAGAGGGGGCAAGCGUUGUUCGGAAUUACUGGGCGUAAAGGGCGCGUAGGCGGCCUGUUAAGUCGAACGUGAAAUCCCCGGGCUCAACCCGGGAACUGCGUCCGAUACUGGCAGGCUUGAAUCCGGGAGAGGGAUGCGGAAUUCCAGGUGUAGCGGUGAAAUGCGUAGAUAUCUGGAGGAACACCGGUGGCGGAAGGCGGCAUCCUGGACCGGUAUUGACGCCUGAUGCGCGAAAGCCAGGGGAGCAAACGGG
rnacentral:rRNA from 1 species